AUAUAUGGAAGUUCCCAGGCUAGGGGUCAAACUGGAGUGGUAGCUGCCUGUCUACACCACAGCCACAGCAAUGCCAGAACCGAGCCAUGUCUGUGACACACACCACAGCUCACGGCCACACCAGAUCCUUAACUCUCUGAGCGAGGCCAGGGAUUGAAAACAUUUCCUCGUGGAUACUAGUCGGGUUUGUUACCACUGAGCCACAACGGGAACUCUUCGUUUUAAUUUUUAAAAUAAAAUAAGUAUUAUUUAAUUUUUCUAAAAGUUAGUUAAUAAAAUAUUUUCCAUUUUUAUUUCUCAAAGAAAAACAAAAUAUAUAAAAAGGAGUUCCUGCUGUGGCUCAGCAGGAAGAAAUCGGACCACUAUCCAUGAGGACGUGGGUUUGAUCCCUGGCAAUGUAACCCAGAAUCCAGCAUUGCUGUGGCUAUGGCUAGGCCAGCGGCUACAGCUCCAAUUGGACCCCCAGCGUGGGAACUUCCAUAUGCCGCAGGUGCGGCCCUGUGAAGACAUAUGUAUUUGAUAAAAGAAAACUGAUUUGCAAAAUGUGGUUUGAGCCCUGGAACUCUCUCAUUCAAUGAAAUGAGCACCUAGGCAAUCCAAGGCCGGGGGCUCUGUCACCGGAGAGGAAUCUGUCCUCACCCAGGUCCCAUGCAGGGCAGGGGCUCCUGGGUGCACCACGACGGACUGCAAUGCACACUUGCUCUGCCCCUCAGUCCUGGGACCCUCCUCCCUGGUGUCCUGCCUCCCUGUCUCCCUUCAACAUCCCCUCAACCGUCUCCCAAUCCCGGGCUCUUACCGUCUCUUCAAGAGGCCAGAAGAGGGGCCUCUGAGCAGCUUCUCCCAAACCCAGGGCCCGUUAGCCUCUUGGAAUGUGGUGGGGUUGGGUGCGGGGGUUAAAAGCUCUGAGAACACAGGCGUCUCCUUCAUUGGGUUCUUCUGCAGCUGCCUGAAUAUCGGAAUAAAUUCCUCACAUAGAUGAGACGCUGCUCUGGGGGGUUCUCAAAGCCUCUUCACCAUCUUUUUGACUGAGAACACACACUCAGAGUGUAGGAGAAACUGUCCCACUAAAAAGGUAGAAAGGAGAGACCCCGGCCAUGACGACUGAGCAAAGGCCAGCCAACUGCCCCUACCCCACCCCACACACACAUCUGCUUCUGUGAACUUGCUUCCGCAUCGACGACCUUGCCUGACGUCACUCCGUCCGACCAGCCAAGCACCGACCCGGAAGAGGUCGCCCAUAAAACCCCUGUGAAACGCUUCUUGGGGGCUCAGACUCCGGGGGCUCAGACUUGGGGGCUCUCCUCUGAGCCCGCCGGUGUAAUAAGCCUGAGUUCUCCACUUCUCCGAGGGCUCGUGUGGUUUCUCGCCGGGUGAAAGAGCUGAUCCGCUGCAGCCACAGAGCUGCUGGAGCUGGUGCACUACAGCCACAGGGCUGUUGCCAGAGCUGAUAGGCUGCGGCUGAGGGGCUACUGGGCAGCUGCCAUAACAAGAGAACUCCCUGUUUCCAGGGAAGCGGUGGAGCAGGACUGUGUGGGGGAGUGUCCAGCUACUACUCCUGGCAGCUCCCAGCCCACGCCUCUGGGGGAAUUCAUGCCCCUUCCAGGGCAGAGGCUGCUGGGAGCAGCACAGAAGGAGCCACUAAGGCCCAGAAACUCAGGACAAUAACCAGUUUCUCCAAGGCAUGCUCAUCCCCUCUUCCCUUGGACUCGGAGCAGCACUGGGGGUGGGGGUGGGGAGGAGGAGCACGUUGGUCUGACGAAUUUCUUUCUACUCAAGGACCUGUGCAUUUGCUUGCUCUGAGGGGGUCGGGGGAUCAAGCCUCCUCGAUCAAAUGUCUUAAAAAAGAAGUUAGAAUUUUAUUUGUUUAUUUUUUUGAGAAGUUAGAAUUUUAAUGGGGAUGGGGGUGGAAAGGGUUGUUCCCAUUGCUCUAGAUGAGAGUAACAAUGGUGGGGCUUCUUAUGCUGUUGAACACAUUUAAAUAUUAUAUGUUUUAUUCUACAUUCGGUUUGCUGUUUUCUCUCUAGUUUGUCACAUCCAUCUUUUUUUUUUUUUUUUGUCUUUUUAGGGCUGCACUCUUGGCACAUGGAGGUCUCCAGGCUAUGGGUCUAGUCGGA
rnacentral:lncRNA from 1 species